AUGGAUUAAAAAAUAUAACUGUUCGCUCAUAUCAUGUCCGAGAUCAGAGUCAUCACGUGCAUCCACGCUUCUUUGUGAUUGGUGUAGAAUAAACCGUACUAAUUAACUAUGCGCCAACGGGAAUAUUGCUCAUCUGUUAUUGGUUGAAUGCAGGGGCAUACUUCGAAACCCGGACCGGACUCGGACCCGGACUCGAAGAAAAUCCGGACUCGAGAAAAACCCGGACCCGGACUCGAAGAAAAUCCGGACUCGUGUUUAACAAAACCCGGACUUGAC